GAGAGCGAGCUGCCUGGCUGUUGCUGCUUUUUUGGCUGUAGAGCUAUGCUGCCUCUGUCUCUGGUCUGGUCUCUGCUGCUGUGCUGGGAGUCAGCAGAGCUAGCUGAAGUGGCAUUGUGGACACUGAAGCUUCAUGCCCAACUACAGAAAUAAUAUCUUUCCCACAGGAAAAAAAAACCCACCAGUAGAAUGUAAAAUGGUGACACUGCAAAUGUCCACGACUUUCCGCUUCUAAUGCAAAAACUGCAGAUCAGCUGUUGAA